ACUGUGGCCGACCGAGCACUAAUGGCGGCGUGGCCGUUUCCCCUCUGCGCCCUCAGCCCCUCUUGCCCUGUGCGCCUUCGUAGCUCGUCCGCACCUCCCUCGUCGCGAUCCCGCGCCUCGCGGUGACCGCUGAGCCUCGCCAGAGCUUCGGCCGGACGCGAGCGGCGGCACCCGAGCCCGUGCCCCUCGCCCUGGCUAUAUAAAGGCCACCCGAGCCCCUUCCAAGCACUCCAUCGCCUCCACCACUCUCUCAGAGCCCCGCCCGACCACUCCACCGAGCUCGGGGAGCUCCAGUUCCUCCUCCAUGGUCGCCAGUCCGCCUCGGCUUCGGCUUAAAUUAGUCCAACGCCGAGCCCUCCUCCACCUCCAGCCACCACCAUCGCCUUCCCCACACCCCAGUGAUCCUCCCCAGCCCUUCAUCUCGUCGCCGGAGUGCCUAAAGCCGCUGCCCCAAGAUCCAGCACCGCCGCCGUUGCUCUCUGUUCCGGUGGCCAUCCCAUCUCCCGCCCUCCUCGACGUGCGUGCACCCCCAGGGCGGAUGCGAGGCAUCCUCCCGUGCCUGCUGGUGGUCCGAGCUCCGCAAGUGGUGGCCGGAGCCGCCGGAGCCACCGCUGGCCGUGCCCCUCUGUUCAGCCGCGGACCCCAGUGCCGCAGCCGCUUCGACCCUCCCCGGCGCCUGCUCCACUCUUGUCGGACGCGGCGUCGUCCCCUGAACCCUCCGGUGGCCGGAGCUCGGCCGGAGACCACCGGAGCUGGCCGGGCCGUCGCCGGUGUCGCCCCUCCCCUGCUCCUCUGUUCUUCGCGUCGGGAGGAGGAAGAAGGACCGAGAGGAGAGAGAGAGAGAGAGGAUAAAGUGGACCCCGCCUUUUUUCAGCCCAGGAACCUGUUUGUGGAGAAAUCUUUACAGAUUGGUCCCUGAACUUCGUCGGCCUAUAACUUUUUGCUCGCAACUCCGUUUGAGCCCCCUCCGAGAGAGAACGUUUUCCGGCGAUUCGUUCUACGAGCUUCUCGCACCUUCUCCCAGUGAUUUCUUCCACCCCAGGCAAGUCACAAUAUCCACUUACGUGAUAGUCAUGCAGUAGCCAUGGUUUUCAACUUGAAUAUUUAUUAAAUGUUUUCUUGCUUAAAAUAUGGGUAUCUUUGUUUCAGUAAUGCUUCUGGGUUAGUGCUUACUUUCUUGCUAUGUUGUUAUGCACCUGGUUAUCAUGCCCUGCUAGUUGCUAGUAUUCCUUUUCAUAUGCUUAUGCUUGCUAGUAGUACAUGUUGAUGUUGGUGAUGGUCUUCGGUGCAUGACUGCCGUCUGUCCCGAGUACCAUUGUUAUGCAUGUUCCAUUGUAUCCA